UCGGGUUGGUCGUGUACAGAGGGAGGGGACUAGGGGAGUGAGAGAGGUGAGGGUCUGAGGGUCAGGUGAGUACUACGGUCUAGAGCCGCUCAGUGGGUGAGGUGGGGGAGGCGAGAGCGGAGGUGUCGGCCGCUGGAGCAGAGCGUGGCGGCGGGGGAGAGUAAGGGAGGGGUCGAGGGGAGGUGAGUAGACUGCCGCCGAUCUACGCGUGUGUUGGCCGCUGGUUGUAGUGUGUUUCCAGCGGUGGCGGCCGCCACCUUCCUGUCAGAAGAGGGCGGCGAUCGGCGUCGGAGGCGGAGCGGGACUAGGAGCCGGAGGAGCUGGCGGCGAGCGAGAGGAGCCUUCGUGGAGCGGCGGAGGGACGGGUACGGCACAAGCGGCUGACGGGACGAGCGCGGCUGGAGCGGUUAGAGCGCCGGCGUGAACCGUCACGAGCUGAACAGGAGCGGCGGAGGUCGCCGCGGCCCAGGAAGGGCACGGAGAUGGCGGAGGACCUGCUCAGUAGGAGAGGGGUUUAGCUGUGGGCGGGGAAACAGCUCGGACAGCACGGUCGCUGUACUCGUCCUACCACAUGUGGCCGAAGUGUCUGUACACCGGCAGCUCCGAAGCCUACUCCAGCUGCGCCUACUCUUGUCAAGUAUCUCGGCAUGGUCCUAGGAUAUCUCGUUUACCCGUAGUAGCUGCACGUCAUGUGCGAGAGAAUCCGUCUAUUCAUUGGAGUCUGUUGAAUAAAACACUUCUAGCCACCAAGUACCAGACUUUCAAAACAAAAAGAGAGAUUUAAAACAUGAAUCUAUUAGGGAAUUUACGAAAAAUGACGAACUAGUGUAUUAUGUACAGGCACGUUCUUUCCUCAACAAUUGACUUUGUUAUUACAAUUAAAAACAACAAUUGACUUUGUUAUUACAAUUAAAAACAAUUGAUGUUUGACAGAACCUGUAACCAAAAAAGUUUAAUUGAGGCACAACUUGACCAAGAAGAACAACACACAACGUCGGGUCGUUAGACAAGUACGGUUUACUAACUCAGGACCACUCCAAGUAACGACCUGUACGUGCCAGAGGCGUCCGUUCCUUGUGUAUUUUCAUUUAGUCGCACAAUAGUCUUUGAGUACUCGUACUUUCUCUUUAAACCUAGUACACGCUUGUACCCAUCUCUCGUCUAGCUACUCUUGAACUUCUAAUUUCCGUUACUUUCCAGAUAUGUGUAAUCGUAGGCUUGGUCUUGUUAGUUCAAGUUUCGAGAGUACCAACUGACCUCUUUUAGUUUCCUCCACACUCAAGCCUUCAUUAUGGACCUGAUGGAUACCCCUCAAGAUACCAACUGCGUCUCCCCUAACAACGAAGUACAUAUUAGUCCGGCAGUUACCAACACCCAGUCGACGUUACCGAACGCUUUCCUUAACAAGUUUAACCAAGGCAUUUUACCGUCGCCCAUCUCAAGAACAGGACGUGUUUCCUUCCAAUGAAACCAUCUUGCAGUGUUUUUAAUAUCUGCCCCAAUCCUAUGGAGAGCUCUUCGUCAUAUACGGAGCGAUCGUGUGUUCUUGUCACUCCUGGUACAUGAUUAGCCUGCUUGUCAACCCCGAUACAGUGUGGUGGUUAGCCUGUCAACAUAUCAAUUGGGUCAGAGAAGGGCGUAAUCAAAUUGGUCUUCACUUGACACAUGUCCAAUGAUUCGCACCUCUUGGACACAGUGCUGUACAGCGACCGUCGGCGCGGCCGUGGCGUGUGGACUAGACUGCCGUUUGAAACUUCUUUGACAAGUUUAUGUGUACUAGGUUUGCGUUUGGACCUUCGCACCUCUUAGUCCGGAACGGUCGGGGCGAGCCUUCUAUCCUAAAACAACAUAUACCUUUCUCGUUUUUAUAAUCUAAUUUGAUAACAAAUACCUUCGAAGAGCACUGCCUUAAAAGGCUAUACUAAGGUAUACAAAACUAAACUAACCACAGCAUUUAACUUCCUUUCCUACCUUCCAAACAACAAAAUAUACCUUCCCCUCCCUUGCAAACCGAACCAAGA
rnacentral:rRNA from 1 species